UGGACUUGGACCCUGCCGUGUCACAAUGGCUGGUCUGAAAUGCAUGAGUGCACCCUGCCAUAGCAGCGUCUUCAGUGUGAUAAGUAUCUUCACUGACCCAAGCUUCCUCUGUGGAACACGCUUGUCUGGUGGGCUCUGGGCUUCCAACCGUCCCCAUGGACAACUCUUGACAAUUUGACCUCAAAUCGGGUGGGAUUACCCGCUGAACUUAAGCAUAUCAAUAAGCGGAGGAAAAGAAACUAACAAGGAUUCCCCUAGUAACGGCGAGUGAAGAGGGAAAAGCUCAAAUUUUGAAUCUGGUACCUUUGGUGCCCGAGUUGUAAUCUAGAGAAGUGUUUUCUGCCUUGGACCACGCAUAAAUUCCCUGGAAUGGGGUGUCAUAGAGGGUGAGAAUCCCGUUUGUGGUGUGGACUACCUUGGCUUUGUGAUACACUCUCAACGAGUCGAGUUGUUUGGGAAUGCAGCUCAAAAUGGGUGGUAAAUUCCAUCUAAAGCUAAAUAUUGGCGAGAGACCGAUAGCGAACAAGUACCGUGAGGGAAAGAUGAAAAGCACUUUGGAAAGAGAGUGAAACAGUACGUGAAAUUGUUGAAAGGGAAGCGCUUGAGGUCAGUCACAUCUGUCAGGACUCAGCCAGGCUUCUGCCUGGUGUACUUCCUGGCCGGUGGGUCAGCGUCAGUUUUGACCGAGGGAAAAAGGCUUGGGGAAUGUGGCUGUCUUCGGGCAGUGUUAUAGCCCCUUGUUGUAUGUCUCGGUUGGGACUGAGGAUCGCAGCACGCCUUAUGGCCGGGGUUCGCGCCCUCGGUACGUGCUUAGAUGCUGGCAUAAUGGCCUUAAGCGGCCCGUCUGA
rnacentral:rRNA from 1 species